rnacentral:misc_RNA from 1 species
CACGUCGCGACGCGCCUUAGCAUUGGACCGAGCCGCGGCCACUUGCUUUGCAAUUGCAUUUGCCGGGAUCCAUGCCAGCAGCUCCGUCCUAUAUGUGAAGCACCCGGCCGCAAGGCUCUCUCGCUCAUUCACGGCAAAUUAAGCGAGCGCCGGCCGAGGCAGACACAACCCGCAGCAACAACUUGCAUCGGCACGGACGACCGAUUGAGAGCCUCGGCGUUCGUACGCCACGCCACCAAGAGACUCUGUGCAACAAGUGAAGGGACGAAAUGUAUCCGGCCAAGCCCGCCGCCUCCUCCAGCCAGCCAGCGGCCGAGAUGGCGCAGCCGGUGGUCGGCAUCCCCAUCAGCAGCCCCGGCGCGGUCGCGGUCGGGCCGGUCGUCGGCAAGUGGUCCUCCGGCCUCUGCGCCUGCUCCGACGACUGCGGCCUCUGUAAGCAAAGCACUAACCGCUGCUACCUUCUUCUCUCUCUUCACGCAUGCACUAAUGACUAACCGCUGCCUGCAUAUAUCUGCAUCCAACACAACGACGAACAGGCUGCCUGACGUGCUGGUGCCCGUGCAUCACGUUCGGCCGCAUCGCGGAGAUCGUGGACCGCGGCGCGACGUCGUGCGGCGUGGCGGGGACCAUCUACACGCUGCUGGCCUGCUUCACGGGCUGCCACUGGAUCUACUCCUGCACGUACCGCUCCAGGAUGCGCGCGCAGCUCGGCCUCCCCGAAGCCUGCUGCUGCGACUGCUGCGUCCACUUCUGCUGCGAGCCCUGCGCGCUCUCCCAGCAGUACAGGGAGCUCAAGGCCCGCGGAUUCGACCCCGACCUCGGCUGGGACGUCAACGCGCAGAAGGCCGCCGCCGCCGCCGCCAUGUACCCGCCGCCGGCGGAGGGGAUGAUGAUCCGCUAAGCUAAGCUAGCUACCUCGUCGCCGAUCCGGCCCAACCUCCAACGCUAAACUCAGAUGCGUUGCGUCAGUCAGAUCAUCGCGUACGUACGUGUUUUGUACGUAUGGUCGUGUAUAUUUGUACGUGAUGCGUAUAUAUAUAAUGUUAUGACUGAAUG